GAAGCUGGAAUUGCUAGUAAUGGCAGGUCAGCAUACUGCCGUGAAUACGUUCCCGGGCCUUGUACACACCGCCCGUCACACCAUGAGAGUUGGGAAUACCCGAAGCCUGUGAGCUAACUUUUAGAGGCAGCAGUCGAAGGUAGAAUCAAUGAUUGGGGUGAAGUCGUAACAAGGUAUC
rnacentral:rRNA from 1 species